UACAGAGGUCCCAAGCGUUGUUCGGAUUCACUGGGCGUAAAGGGUGCGUAGGUGGCGCCGUAAGUCGGGUGUGAAAUUUCGGAGCUUAACUCCGAAACUGCAUUCGAUACUGCGGUGCUUGAGGACUGGAGAGGAGACUGGAAUUCAUGGUGUAGCAGUGAAAUGCGUAGAGAUCAUGAGGAAGACCAGUGGCGAAGGCGGGUCUCUGGACAGUUCCUGACACUGAGACACGAAGGCCAGGGGAGCAAACGGG
rnacentral:rRNA from 1 species